GAUGAACGCUAGCGGCAGGCUUAAUACAUGCAAGUCGAGGGGUAGCAAGAUUGUAGCAAUACAAUUGUUGACGACCGGCAAACGGGUGCGGAACACGUACACAACCUUCCUACAAGUGGGGAAUAGCCCAGAGAAAUUUGGAUUAAUACCCCGUAACAUAGCGAUGUGGCAUCACAUUGCUAUUAUAGCUUCGGCGCUUGUUGAUGGGUGUGCGGCUGAUUAGAUAGUUGGCGGGGUAACGGCCCACCAAGUCUACGAUCAGUAGCUGAUGUGAGAGCAUGAUCAGCCACACGAGCACUGAGACAAGGGCACGACUCCUACGAGAGGCAGCAGUAAGGAAUAUUGGACAAUGGACGCAAGUCUGAUCCAGCCAUGCCGCGUGAAGGAUUAAGGUCCUCUGGAUUGUAAACUUCUUUUAUAAGGGACGAAAAAAGGUCUUUCUAGAUCGUCUGACGGUACCUUAUGAAUAAGCACCGGCUAACUCCGUGCCAGCCGCCGCGGUAAAAC
rnacentral:rRNA from 1 species